CUUCCUUCUGUCCCUGCCGGAAUGUAUCUAGGCAGCUCCUUUGCUUAAGAACUCAGACUCCAGUUCACCAUCUGGCUGACCUUGAGGGUGCUGGCCUCAACAGGACCCAUUCGGUGGCUUUGUGCAAAUGAGAAAAAAGCAGGUCUUCUUCAGGUGGAAUCAACCUCUCACCAGAGCUCACCUAGUGGCAAGCUGAACGUGAAGUCAAUUUUAGUCUGUCAUUCACCAGCCAGACGUCACAUGCAGUGAACAACCUGUACAGCUAACUCAGAGGACCUCACUCUAAAAAUGACGGAGACUGUGGCUGGGACUGAAAACAUAUCUGGGCAUUGAGGCAAAGAAGGCAUGAGGAACUGGCCUUAAAUUCCAAAGGGGGAUGUUUGCAAGAGUGGGAUAGGGAUGAAGUUCUCCUGCCCCUUUGGAUAACUCCCCUAGGAAGUGACCUGGUUCUACAGGAAAAGUCAAAGAAAGCUUAUAGAAGAUAAAAAAUCUUGGUGCGGGGCUGGGGAUGUGGCUCAAGUGGUAG
rnacentral:lncRNA from 1 species